CUCAGAUUGAACGCUAGCGGGAUGCCUUACACAUGCAAGUCGAACGGCAGCACGGACUUCGGUCUGGUGGCGAGUGGCGAACGGGUGAGUAAUGUAUCGGAACGUGCCUAGUAGCGGGGGAUAACUACGCGAAAGCGUAGCUAAUACCGCAUACGCCCUACGGGGGAAAGCAGGGGAUCGUAAGACCUUGCACUAUUAGAGCGGCCGAUAUCGGAUUAGCUAGUUGGUGGGGUAACGGCUCACCAAGGCGACGAUCCGUAGCUGGUUUGAGAGGACGACCAGCCACACUGGGACUGAGACACGGCCCAGACUCCUACGGGAGGCAGCAGUGGGGAAUUUUGGACAAUGGGGGAAACCCUGAUCCAGCCAUCCCGCGUGUGCGAUGAAGGCCUUCGGGUUGUAAAGCACUUUUGGCAGGAAAGAAACGUUCCGGGUUAAUACCCCGGGAAA
rnacentral:rRNA from 2 species